GUGAGGAAUUUUCCGCAAUGGGCGAAAGCCUGACGGAGCAAUGCCGCGUGAAGGAUGAAGGCCUAUGGGUUGUAAACUUCUUUUCUCAGAAAAGAAUUAUGACGGUAUCUGAGGAAUAAGCAUCGGCUAACUCUGUGCCAGCAGCCGCGGUAAGACAGAGGAUGCAAGCGUUAUCCGGAAUGAUUGGACGUAAAGCGUCUGUAGGUUGUUUAAAAAGUAUUCUGUCAAAGAUUAGGGCUUAAACCUAGAUAGGCAGAAUAAACUUUUAAGCUAGAGUUUGGUAGAGGCAGAGGGAAUUCCCGGUGGAGCGGUGAAAUGCGUAGAUAUCGGGAGGAACACCAAAGGCGAAGGCACUCUGCUGGGCCAAUACUAACACUGAGAGACGAAAGCGAGGGGAGCAAAUGGGAUUAGAAACCCCAGUAGUCC
rnacentral:rRNA from 1 species